CUAUACAUGACUCUGCGCAUAUCAAUAAGCGGAGGAAAAGAAACUAACAAGGAUUCCCCUAGUAACGGCGGAGUGAAGCGGGAAGAGCUCAAAUUUGAAAUCUUAAAGGGUUUCCCUUUACGAAUUGUAGUUUAAAGAAGUGUUUUCUGUUGAGGUUUUGGUAAAAGUUCUUUGGAAUAGGACAUCAUAGAGGGUGAGAAUCCCGUAUUUGACCUUUACUUUCAACUUUGUGAUACACUUUCAAAGAGUCGGAUUGUUUGGGAAUGCAGUCCAAAAUGGGUGGUAAAUUUCAUCUAAAGCUAAAUAUUGGCGAGAGACCGAUAGCGAACAAGUACCGUGAGGGAAAGAUGAAAAGAACUUUGAAAAGAGAGUUAAACAGUACGUGAAAUUGUCAAAAGGGAAGCGUUUGACACCAGUGUUGUUUUUCUGAAAAUCAAUUAAAGAACUGUUUAUGCUAAGCUGUUUAGACUUUAUCAGCUAAUCUGUUUAGUUUUGAGCUUUUCUUUAAUGCACUUUUCAGUUAACAAGUCAACAUCAAUUUCUUUUGCUGUAAAAAAGCUUGAGGAAGGUGGCUUGAGAUUCGUCUUAAGUGUUUAUAGCCUCUUGCCUAUGCAGUCGGAGAGAUUGAGGUCUGCAGCGUAGAUCCUUCGGGGCUAAAUGCAUUUGUGCUAAGUUAUAGCAUUUUAUAGACAACUUGUUGACUAUGAUUUGUCUUGUAGCUUACUCGCUUAUGUUAUUUUACCUACGCUUAGGAUGUUGAUCUACAGAGCGAGAGU
rnacentral:rRNA from 1 species